AGAGAGAGACAUGCGCGCAUAUCAAUAAGCGGAGGAAAAGAAACUAACAAGGAUUCCCUUAGUAACGGCGAGUGAAGCGGGAAGAGCUCAAAUUUGAAAUCUUCAAGGUUCUACCUUGACGAAUUGUAGUUUAUAGAAGUGUUUUCUGUUAGUGGAGUGGCAAAAAGUUCUUUGGAAUAGGACAUCAUAGAGGGUGAGAAUCCCGUAUUUGGUCAUUCCUCCUAGCGUUGUGAUACACUUUCAACGAGUCGGAUUGUUUGGGAAUGCAGUCCAAAAUGGGUGGUAAAUUUCAUCUAAAGCUAAAUAUUGGCGAGAGACCGAUAGCGAACAAGUACCGUGAGGGAAAGAUGAAAAGAACUUUGAAAAGAGAGUUAAACAGUACGUGAAAUUGUCAAAAGGGAAGCGUUUGACACCAGUGUUGUUUUUUCCGAAAAUCAAUUACGAAUGUUUUAUUUUUGAGGAGUUAUGACUUCAUCGGCUUGCUCCUUUCUUUAUCGAAACUUUCUUAAUGCACUUUUCGGUUAACAAGUCAACAUCAAUUUCUUUUGUUGUAAAAGGGUAUGAGGAAGGUGGCUUUCUUUUCGGAGAAAGUGUUUAUAGCCUUGUGCCUCUGCAAUCGGAGAGAUUGAGGUCUGCAGCGUAGAUCCUUCGGGGUUAGAUACGUUUGUGCUAAGUUAUAGCUUUUCAUAGACAACUUGUUGACUAUGUUUAGUCUUGUAGCUUACUCGCUGACGCUAUUUUACCUACGCUUAGGAUGUUGAUAGUCACAGCGUGUAC
rnacentral:rRNA from 1 species